rnacentral:rRNA from 1 species
CAAAAUCUCAACUUUAUUAGAAGAGACGCAUUUAUUAGAUAAAAAGCCAAUGCAUGCUUUUACAGUAUGGAAAUUGGUGAUUUAUAAUAACUUGGCAAAUCGCAAAGUGAAAACAGGCGAUAAAUCAUUCAAGUUUCUGACCUAUCAGCUUUCGACGGUAUGGUAUUGGCUUACCGUGGCAGUGACGGUUAACGGGGGAUUAGGGUUCGAUUCCGGAGGGGGAGCCUGAGAAACGGCUACCACAUCUAAGGAAGGCAGCAGGCGCGCAAAUUACCCAAUUCUAACAGUUUGAGAGAGGUAGUAACAAGAAAUAACAAUACAAGGCAAUUAAAAUGUUUUGUAAUUGGAAUGAUAGAAAUUUAAACCCUUUUUAAAGUAUCAAUUGGAGGGCAAGUCUGGUGCCAGCAGCCGCGGUAAUUCCAGCUCCAAUAGCGUAUAUUAAAAUUGUUGCAGUUAAAAAGCUCGUAGUUGAAGUUCUGCUAAAAGUAACCGGUCUGCUUUUAAUAAAAGUGGUAUCUUGGUGUGUAUUUAGCAAUGAUGUCCUUUGAAGUGUUUUUUACUUUAUUGUAAUAAAGCAUAUUCAGGACUUUUACUUUGAGAAAAUUAGAGUGUUUCUAGCAGGCCGACGCUUUGAAUACUGCAGCAUGGAAAUAAUA